rnacentral:lncRNA from 1 species
CGUAAGGUGAAGAUGUUGUGGGAGGACCAGGGCAUAGCAGGGGAGAUCCAAAAACUCAAGAAACUCGUGACAGAGCAGAGUGACCGGGCCAAACGCUACCCUGUGGGAAUGCGGUGCGACUCACCUCAGCCGGUGCGCUUGGAUCCUCGAGCAACUGCCCUCUUUUCAGGAGGCGAGGGAUCCUGUGGGAAUUGAUGGUCCUCGCGAGGAAAUCAUCCAGCUAUUACAAGUUGAAGAAAAGCAGCACAAGGUGGUGUCCAUCUAUGGUACCGCUGGGCAGGGGAAGACUACUCUAGCCAUGGAGGUAUACCGAAAAAUCCCACAAGCAUUUGAUUGCAGGGCUUUCGUGUCUGUAUCUCAGACUCUGGACCUGAAGAAGCUACUCAGAGAUAUAUUGUCUCAAAUAGUAAGCAAGAGCGAGUUUGACCAGUUGCAGUCGGAAAGGUGGGAGACGGAGCAGCUCAUGCGCGAAAUGAUAGACUACUUAAUUGGCAAGACCAGAAUUACUUUCUUGUACUAUAAUAAUUAGCCAGUUCAUCUAGCUAUGGCAAUGUUGUGAGGUCUUUGUCGAUCACAUGAGCUCACCUAAUUUAUCGGCCAUUUUACGGUUGUAUUUUACGGACCCAUUCGAGCAUAAAACUACCACAUAUGCAUUUGUUACAUGACUUCAGCUGUUCAACAUAUCUACCAAAAGCCAUCGCUAAAUAUCUUACAACAAGGUCAAGUCAACUGCCCAUGAAUGUAGGCGUAUGUGGUUGGAGUUGGCCUGUACUAUUGUGCGCAAAUGAUAUUUGAGUAGAAAAUUAUUUACUCUAUACCAUCAAAUAAUUCCAGAUUCAGUAAAAUUAUUUCUUGAUAACUUCAACCAUGUUUGUUUCGUAUAGCCAUUCUAAAUAUCCAUAAAAAUCUUCUUUAAUCCGUCUCUUUACUUUUCUCCAAUAUCUUUCACCAUGAUAUGCUCUAUAUGUUGAAUAGUUAUGAUGGCCUCGUAACAUGAUUCCUCAACCAAUGCAUGCAGGUACUUCAUCUUGAUUGAUGAUAUCUGGAAUGUAUCAGAUUGGGAGCUUGUACAAGCUGCCUUACCUCGCAAUGACAACGGAAGCAGAAUAAUUACUACAACACGCAGUAAAACAGUAGCCAAAACAUGUGCUGGUACUGAUGCACAAAUGUACAAAGCAAAGCCACUUGGUGAUGACGAUUCUCGCAGAUUAUUCUUUAAAAGGCUAUUUCACUCAACUGAACAUUGUCCCCAAGAUUUGAUGGCAGUAUCCAGUGAUAUUUUGAGGAAAUGUGGGGGAUUACCAUUAGCCAUAAUCAGUAUAGCUGGUUUAUUAGCAAACAGAAGCAAAACCAAGGAAGUCUGGGUCAAUGCAUUGAAGUAUAUUUCUGCGGCAGUUGACAAAGAUUCUCACAUUGAUAAAAUGAAAAGAAUUUUUCUGCUUAGUUACUUUGACCUUCCUCUUUAUCUAAGGAGCUGUAUGUUAUAUCUGAGCGUGUUUCCGGAGGAUUAUUUGAUUGAUUGUAGACGGUUGAUAUUGUUAUGGGUAGCCGAAGGACUGAUUCCUGGACAAGGCAGAGAAAAUAUGGAGCAGCUUGGGAGGAGUUACUUGAAUGAGCUGAUCAAUAGAAGCUUGGUCCAACCAACCAAGGUUUGGGCAGAUGGCGCAACAGUUAAAGAGUGCAGGGUUCAUGAUGUCAUACUUGAGUUUAUUGUAUCAAAGGCUGUGGAGGACAAUUUUGUUACUAUAUGGAAUCGUAAUGGGUUUUCUGAAAAUUAUUCUUCCAACAAGAUUCGCCGUUUAUCUAUCCAACAUGACAUUUCUAGGCGGGCUGAAGAGAUGGUGAAGAUAAAAGAACAUGCAGCUCAUAUUCGAUCAAUUAAUAUUUUUGACCCUAAUUCAGUGCUGCUAAUUAAAAACACCUCUAUAUUUUUAAGUAGCCAAGUCUUGCGAGUGCUGAAUAUAGAAGAUCAUGUUUGGGAGGAGUUAGUUGAAGAUUACUGCUAUUUAGGACAUGUCAAAAGUUUUUGUCAAAUGAAGUACUUGAGGUUAAAAAUUUGGAUAUCACUAUGGUUCGAACUCCCAAAAGAUAUAGAAAAGCUGCAACAUCUAGAGACACUAGAUCUUAGGGGUACCUGCAUUGAAAAACUACCGGCUAGCAUUACCCAACUGCAGAGAUUAGUGCGUCUUCUUGUCAGUAUUGAGGUAAAACUACCUGAUGGGAUUGGAAAUCUGCAGGCAUUGGAAGAGCUAUCAUCGAUCAGUUUGGAUUUUCAAACUGUCAAGUUUAUCCAAGGGCUCGGCGAUCUGACCAAUCUGAAGGUACUUGGAAUUAAUUGGAAGCACACUUAUGCAGGAGUACGUCGCGUGGACGUGGAAGACCACAAGGAAGCAUGUAUCUUGUCACUCUCCAAGCUUGUCACAACCCUUCGAGAACUGCAAUUCAUGCAUGAUGUUCCUGAUGACGCACUUUCAUUCAUGGCUUCGUUUGCCUCAUCUUUAACUCCACCACCCCUUCGGAGGCUCGUCUUUCACGAAGGUGGUGGAUCAAGUGUCGUGCCCCAUCAAAUCAUCAGCUCGCUAGUCAACCUGACCCACCUCAAUAUUGGACUAGUAAGCCAGGAAGGGAUAAAUAUCCUAGCAAGUUUGCCCAUGCUCCUCUCUAUUACUGUUCGCGUUUCCUUUGAAGAGGGUAGUUCUGGAAUCAGGUAUACAAUCAGCAGUCAAGGAUUCCAGCGUUUAGUCAAGUUUAAUUUCGACUGUUUUCAUGAUGGGGGGGGCGUUGGAGUUUGAGCCAGGAGCCAUGCCAAAGCUCCAAAGGCUCGAGCUGUACCUGGUGGCACGGGGUCAGUUCAAUUAUGAGCAAGGCGCCCUCGUCCUUGGGCUGCAGAAUCUGGCAAGCCUCAGACAUGUUGCUCUUGGUAUUAACUGUUAUCCAGCUACUCCUGAUGAGGUGCAGGAUUUGGAGGAUGACAUCAGGGUUGCAGCAGGCGCCCAUCCCAACCGUCCCGUGGUCCAGCUGGUCGGAAAACUAAAUGAACAUUGGAUGACUUAGGGUGCAGCAGGCACCCAGCUACCUAGAAGCACAAUGACCAAGUAAAUGCAUGGUGUGGAGAAUAAAUAUCAUUAUCAAUGAUGAUCUUUUUUUCUGUUUCAAGAGCACGUUGGAAUUAAACAAGGUUAAUUCGAUUUGUUUUCAUCUUAGUUUUUGCUUUAUGACAACAUGUGUGCGCAUGCAGAUUGGCCUCUCGAAUCUAUGGAGUGCUGAUAUGUGUUGCUUGAUAUGAUGGUGUUGUGUUGAGGUGGGUUUGGGAUGUGUGCUCGGAGCGAAGGCAUUUGCCCUUCGCCGGGCCAACGAUGCUGACGCCUGUUGGUGCCACAUCCCUCUCUAUUGACUAUGAAGGACUGACUACGUUAAGCUCUUCCUCCAUAUAUGGAUUGUAGGUUGCUAGGUAGUUUUGAGACGUAUGUUGAUUUUAAAAUCUUAUGUUGUUUAUCACUUACUGGAUCUGUUUCUUCUUUCUUUCUUUUAUAUUUCCUUUUGAUAAGGUUGUGUGUUGUUGCAUAGGUGGCUGGAAUCUAAGCUUUGUUCAUCCAAAAGAAGAUGAUAUAAAACAACCAGAAAGAAACAAGGGGGGGGGGGGGGCGGUUAAUCUCCUUCCAAGGGGAUUGGAGGGGAUUUUGACUGGUAUGGGAUGUUUUGCAGGAGGAUGUGCACCUCAACAUAAGUAAUAUGGAAUCUGUGGGUACACUUUUGGCAACAUAUCUUCAAACCACAUUCUAUGCAACAAUAAUCUUGUGCAAACCAUACAUAGCUAUGCCCACCAUUUCUAGAACGAUGUUCAAUAGACUACCAUAUGCAUAUGAACGCGCACGAUGGAUAUUAGACACAAAACAUAGUAGUAGUAUAACUUGCACAAAACUACAUUUAUGAUCUUUUGUAUUUGAGCCAGGAAGUUCUUUCAAAACAUAACCCACAAGAAAGCACGCACUGGUCUUGUUGUGCACUACACGUUAGGUGUUGCAAUUGCAUAUAAUCUCUUUUAUUUAUUUAGUUUGAACAACCGUGCAUGGCUAGGCACUUCCGAAAGUCUUCACUUCAAGUACUUGUCAAACCAGUCCAUCAUUAGACCAAGAGCUUGCUCAACAGUUUUGACAGCAAAAGGGUCGGUGGUAUUAUAUCUGCAAGCAAAUCCAUGUGCAACUCCUGGAAAGACCUUGGCGUAGUAGGGAAUCUGCAAACAACCAAUGCCACAAAAAUGAGCUUUUCCAACUGAUAUAUAGUAUCCUCUAUGACGGAAUCACUAGGAACUCACCUCUGUUCUAUGACGCAAUACACUCACAUACUGGUACACUAGUUUUGGCGGUGCGACUUCGUCAUAUUGAGCUCCAAGGAUCUCGAUUGGACAUUUAACCUCUGUUUUGAAUGGUCAUAUAGUUAGCAUACGAAAUUAAGCACUUAAGUUCAGUUCCAAAGACAUCUCAAUCGAUGCUGUCUGGGAGGUUGCAAACACAAAGAAAAGGAGCAAACCUUUCAUGUCAUCAGUAGUCACAAUGUAAGGAUGAGAAAUGGAAACUACUUUAACAUCACUGGUUUUCCCCAUCUCUACACUAAACUUUCCUGUCAGUUACGCGGCAAUAGGAGAUAAGAAUUUUAUGCUCUGUAUGUUGCCUGAAGAAGGAUUUUGGAAGCUGGAAUUUCACUCACCACCCCAGCAAUAACCUCCCACCCCGAUGGACUUUCCUUCCUUUUUGAAAGCAGCAAAGAGUGGCUUGGCGUCUUUGGCAGCUUUUACCUGCCAGAUCGAUCGGAUACUCAAAUCAAUAUAUUUUCAACUCAUGAUGCAAUGAGCAUAAGAUGAAAUUUGAAAGGGACAUGGAACAGACCUGGGAGUGGAGCUUGAUCCACUCUGAAAUGUUUUUACUUGAGUCUAAAUAAUCUCCAUUGAAGAAAUCAGGCACCACAACAAAGUAUCCAGCCUCGCUAACUUUAUCGGCUAUCUGUCUGCAUCAUUAAAAGAUCAAGAAAGGGAUGAACAAUAGCUAGUACAGAGAGGGAUUCUUGCGUCGUUGUACUCCAAACAAAAUGCAAUCUAUCUCAUAUGAGAAUUAACUUUCACCGGAUUGUCUUUUUUGGGAAAAAAAAACUGUACUGUAUUUUACUCUGUACAGAAGCACAAAGCAUUGUUAUGUUUUUUAAAAAAAGAUAGUCAAAUAAAAUUUGCUCUAGUUCUUCAAAGUCUCUAAAAUCAUCUGUUGAUAUUUAAAAGCAUUUUGCUAUGGUUAUGAUUGCGUUGCUACUUGCUACAAGCAUCAUAAGGGAGUACUAAGCAGGAAAAAUCGAAAGCAUGCCAGCCGAAUGAUCUAGUUCUUCAAAGUCUCUAAAAUCUGGAGAGAUGCUAGUUGACCAAGAACAGAGCAUUUUGAUCUACGAUAGUAAGCCAGAGUAGAGCAAGAAAGAACACAAAAUUUGGGAAUUAAAAGACCGUAGAUAUAUUUAUGUAGGUGCCUCGAAUCCUGAGAAAAUCAAUCAAAAAGUGGAGAAAAAUUUCCUGUCAAAACGUACGCCCAAAUUGACUAGAAACUGCAGAAGUGUAGUACUACGGUCGAAACACCAACCGAAAACAUCGGAGGCGAGGACGAUGGCGUGGCUUGAGCUUGCGGCUGAAGGACCGAAAGGGCGAUCAGAGGGGGGUGAAUGGGAACCUAUAAAAAUUCUCAACAAGAACAAGGCCUAUGUCCCAAAUACAACCCCAAAGCACACAACACGUUGUAUCGUCAAGAUGACGCAAGUCAACUCGUGACAAGCUCACCCUAGGAACGAUACACGUAUCAUAUCAUGACAAAUCUCAUGAUUUUCAGACUUUGCUUGCUUUUUUUACAAUUUAAAAAUCAUUCGGUCACACGUUCGUGAUCGUGUUUCCUGAACAAGAUGUUUGAAAUUUCUUUUUAUUUCAUGGGUCAGGUCUCAAAUUGGGUUAAAUAAUAUGAAUAUCAUUUUUCUACUCAUUUUAUUCUAUAAUUUGAAUCACUUGCAGUUCAAAUUUGACUUAUACCAAAAAUUUCCUUUAAAUACAAUUAAUUAAUUAAAUAUAGCAAACAAAUUCAAAAAUAUACCAAAUUUUAACAUGGAGUACCACAUGUUGUAUGUGGGGAGUAGAAAAAAUCUCAAGGUUAAAAGGGAAAAAAAACUUAUUAUUUGUCGAGUGUCAAAAAAACACUCGGCAAACCCCCCUCUUUGCUGAGUGUUUUUUUCUUGACACUCGGCAAAGUCCCUCUUUGCCGAGUGUUUUUUUUUGACACUCAGCAAAGCUCCUUGUUUGCCAAGUGUUUUUUCUUUGCCGAGUGUUUUUAGCUUGGCACUCGGCAAAGAGCUUGUUGCCGAGUGUCGAAAAAAACACUCGGUAAAUUUGCGGUUUCCGUAGCGAGAGUAGUUUACAAAAUCAGGCAUCAUGACGCAACAAUCAAUGAAAAUCAAGAAGCAGAAAUAUGACAGUUAUUUUGAGUAGUUUUUAACAUGAUCAUCUAAAGUUUGUCUCUUUCAUUGGCAUAGUUGGCCACUUCCUCGUCCGAGGCCACCAUUGAUCAUGCAUUCAUGCCUAGGGAAAUCCGGCCCAAGUGUACAGUCCAAUAGCCCAUAUGCAAAGAAAAUCCGAAUCGACUAAACCUACUGCGAUCCUAGCCGCCUCCGAUCUCCGAGAGGAUCCUCAGCAUGUUGCUGCACUGUUUGUAAGGGCGCUUUGCUUCACCCUACGGGUUUGGUGCAUAAUUCUCGAGCUGCAAUGUUCAAGUUUGCACAAAGAACGAGCACAUAUGCGAUGUAGCGGGGUGUGUAUUCACCUUAAAUAGAGGGCAUAUUUUAAAGUGUGUGGGAUCCAAUAUUGGUCAACUUGACAAGAACAGAUAUUCACUGCUGUGCAAAUUUUUUCCAUCUGGAUGUACGAAAAUAUUAUUCUUAUUUAUUUAUUCGAAACAGUCAUGUGCAGAUAAGACAUGUCUUCACUACAAGUAUUUGUGGAACCAGUCGAGCAUGUAAGCAAGAGCUUUUUCAGCGCUUUUAACAGCGAACGGGUCGGUGGUAUUGUAUCUGCAAGCAAAUCCAUGGGCAACUCUUGGGAAGAUCUUGACAAAGUACUCAAUCUGCAAGAGAGGUAAUGUCAUAUAAACGGGUGAGGUUCUGCCAAGAAAAAUUCACAUGUGCAGGUGCAUUGGUAUUGAGUGCCACUAAACCCAGCAAGAAGCCAAGAAACUCACAUCCAUUCUUUCACGCAAUUCUUGCUCGAACUGACGCACUUGUUCCUGCGGUGUGAUUGUGUCGUUUUGAGCUCCAAGGAUCUCAAUUGGCCAUUUGACCUCUGAGUUUUAAGUGAGCGCAGUUAGCACACGAACAGAAUACUAGUCAUACACAGUGUGCCUAAUAAGUAUGGUAAGAAACACACACCUUUCAUAUCAUCAACAGUCACAUAUGCAGGAUGAGAAAGGACAACUACUUCUGUAUCGUCAGUUUUUGCUAUCUCGGCGGCAAAUUUUCCUGGCAAAUAAUCAGAAAAAAGGUAGAAAUUAGCAUGUUUUAUGUCUUGCCUGAAGAAGAAUAUUGAAAAAUAAAAUUCCAGUAGGGCCAAGCUACUGAAUUGUAGUGAUUGCUGUCGAUUUCACUCACCCCCCCAGCAGUAACCUCCAACCCCAAUAGAUUUUCCUUCGUUUCUCAAAGAAGCCAAGAGUGGCUUGGCAUCUUGAGCAGCUGUGACCUGUAGGAUCGAUCGACAUUGCAAUCAAUUUAUUUGCAACUAAUGAUGCAAUGCAAGAUUUUGUUAAAGAUUCGUUAUGUUAUCAUUUGACUAGAAAUUGAAAUUAAUUAUCCCCGGUGAACAUGAACUUACUGGGGAGUGAGAUUUGAUCCAUUCUGAAAGGAUUUUACUGUCGUUGUAAGGAUCGCCGUGGAAGAAAUCAGGCACCACAACGUAGUAUCCUGUUGCGGCAACUUUAUCGGCUAUGUUUCUGCAUUAUUACACAAGCACUGGUACUAAUUAUAUUUUAACUAGCGAACAAGGCUGAAGUGCCAUGUCAUUUUAGUUUCUAAAACAGAGCCGAACAUCGUUUAAACAACUAAAUUAAAGUAGAUUGCCGCGGUAACGGCCUCUCUGCUGCUUUGGUCAGGGAUUUAUUUACUGGUAACUGGUUUAAAUUACUAGAAGUUUGAGCUGAAAUCAUUUUGAAAUAAAAUUGGGCCUAUUUUCUCGGUUUGUAAGUGUUUCUGAGAGGCAAAGCAAGCUGCCAUGUUUGAUGACAGACCUAUCCAUACCAGAACUACAAUCAAGUCUUCCAAAAGGCUAAAACUUCAUGUUUCCAGUCAUUAGUGCAAUAUAGUGUUUCAAUAAUGUGAGUGUAAGUAGAAAUAUAAAAAAAAACCAUACAUUGCCCAAACAAAAAACUCCAGUUCAUCAAGCUGAAAACAGCUGACUACACCAUGGAGCUUCCUAUGUGUUUUACUAGUUUUUGGGAAGCAAGGAUAUCCCUGUGUAUAAUCUCUUUAUACUUGUUAUUAAGUCACAAAAGUUUCAUCUUAAUGUUUCUAUCUGAUUCUAUUUCCAUCUUGUUUUUAAAUAAAAAAUCUCAUGUUCUACCAUGUUUCAGGAAAGGAAACGUUCACUUAUCAACUCUUAACUAUUGCCAUGCUCUGUUUUUCAUCUCAUUGUGCCUGUCCGGUUUUCAAUCUCCAACUUUAAAACUUUCUAAAAGACUACCUUCAACUCAGAACAAAACCAGGGUGCUUUUGGAUGAUGUGGCCUGGUUUUGUCUGCUGGUGUAUGCAUGUGUACAAGUAGUACACUGAUCAGUACAAAACAGCAAGCAAAAUACAAUAACUGCUGGGACAAUAUAAUAUAACAUCCUCUAAUUUCCCUUCUUCCACCUCUCUCUCCCCCUCAAAUUAAUUUUUUAGCAACUUCGUUCAUCAGCAUACUAGGAUUCCAUCAUUUCUUUGGGAAUCGCGUUGUUUCCUAUAUUUUUGUGCUGUAUUAGAAAUCGUAAGGAACUUGAAUUCAAGAACUUAAAACCAUUUUUUAUACCUCAGUAUAGGUGCCUCGAACCCUGAAGAAUAUUUGUCGAAAGAACAGAGAAUAUAUUUCAGUCAGACAAACCACAAAAAUAACCAUCAACCAAACUGAACGUAAAUUUGCACUAGAGGAGUGUGAAGCUGGCCGGCUGGACCAACCGUAGACAUCCGAGGCGAGGACGAUGGCACGUAUGGACAUGGAGGGGCCGGUGACAUAGGCCCUGAACCCCCCUGGAAGGUCGUCUACAACCUUGCCAGCUUCAACGCCGCGCAACGACAGGUCCGGCGGGUUGUCGAGGCACUGCGAGUGCUCGUCGUGAACGGUCGCCGCCGCGACUAGCACCACGGCGAGGCAGAGGAAGAGCAGUGCGGCGGAGCUCAUGGCGCUUCGACAGGAGGUUCUCUUGCUAGGUUGUCUCCACCGCUGCUGCGUUGCGUUUGUUUAUAUAGCACGAGGGCCGACGGCAUGGUAGGCUAGGUUGCCUCCACGUCGCCGUCCGGCGGCCGGCUGCUUUUUCUACACGAAAGCGAGCGGAACGGAAGCUGAAAGCGCUCGAUGAAUUUGAGUGAAAUACUCCAUGUGGUAUCUCUGGUGUACAGUUCAUGUACUACCACUAGCCUUUAUAAGCCCUCCUGUAGUUCUGCUCUUAGGUGGUCCAUUAAGCAAAGGAUUUGAGCCCUUGGACGCGAAGCUCCUCGCCGAUCUAUCUCUUGUUUCUACGGCAAAAGUACAUGGAAGGCUAUAACUUUGGCCGUGAUUAGGACAUCAAUAUGAGUUCUGACUUUAGGUCGUCUGACAAAAAAUAUGAGGAAUUUUUGUAAGAGGGGGUGUUUGGUUUCUCGAGCUAAAGUUUAGUUCGUGUCACAUCGAAUAUUCGGAGGCUAAUUAGGAGAACUAAAUAUAAGUUAAUUAUAAAACUAAUUGCACGUAUAGAGGCUAAACGACGAGAUGAAUCUAUUAAGCCUAAUUAAUCCAUCAUUAAAGCAACACAUUGUCAAAUCAUGGACUAAUAAGCUUAAUAGAUUCGUCUCGCCGUUUAGCCUCCACUUAUGUAAUGGGUUUUGUAAAUAGUCUACGUUUAAUACUUCUAAUUAGUAUCUAAACAUUCGACGUGACGGAGGCUGAAGUUUAGGGUGAGGAGCCAAAAACCCCGGAAGUUUAUGGUUCGUUCGUUGACAUUUGUGGCAAUGCUGUCCUUCCAGGCACAUUGACAUUUAUAUUUCGUACAUAACUAGCAAGAUGGAGAUGGCCCGACGCAAUCUGUGUGGCUAGUUUUAGUACCCUUCAAUGCAAAUUCUCAUUUUUUUCCUCAAGCCAAAUUAAGUAAAAUUUAUUCGAAAACAAUUACACAAAAGGUGCAGUCCCAAUGAAUUCAUGCCGUAAGAAACGAUUUCUCGCGCAGCUUCUGUUUGGCAACUUCCGAUGCCCAUCAGCACAAUGUUGAGUCUACGGCGCGCGCUGCAGCGCCCCGCGGCGCACGACGCGGAGGGUGGGUCUCAUGUGACCCCUAUUUUAAGUACAGGGCUGGAUACCGAGACGUAUCUGACAUGAAAGUUAUAUCACAGGACGGGCAUAGUCUACGUAAUAAGAUAGUAACUUGUCGAGGAUCAGGAAAAGUACUUGUAGCAAUCAGAGUAGGACUCGCCUAGUCGAAUCCGACUAGUAUUCAUGUAAACAAUUGACCUUAACCCUGCCCCCAGCAAUAUAAGGCGAGGUAGGGAUCCUCUCUAAAGUAAUUCAAUCCAAUCAACACACAGGAUGUAGGGUAUUAUGCAAUCUAGCGGUCCGAACCUAUUUAAAUCGUGUGUCUGUGUUCACUUUCGAGUUCCUAAUCUCGGCGAGCCCCGUUAACUAAAACACUACUUCGGGCACCCCCUCGGUGGGUUGCCGGGUCUAAACACCGACAACCCCACCAUGUGCUGGCCCACGCAUUUUUUUUUCUUUUCAAUUAUUUUUUCUAUACCAAAUAAAUAUUGUAUAUACAUAUAAAUUUUGCAUAAUUUUUUUAACAACAUUCUCUCAAAAGUUAUGACAAAUAUUAUGCGUAUAAGUUAUGUAUAUCAUGAAAGUUGUAUUACGAAAUUUAUCACCUAAAUUGUUGUUAUGAAAAAAGUUAUGCGUACAAAUUGUGCAUAUAGGUUACAGCUUUCUAAAAACACUAGGAUCGUGCCAGUGCGUUACUACGGGCAACAAAUAUUUAUAUUGAAAUACACAUAGUAACUUGCAACAUCAAUCCAAAACAAGACAUUCAACACUCCAUUUAUGGGUUUAACGUACUUUCCAAUUAUAUUGUUCUGUUAUAGUCUCAGCUGUGAAUUUAAUGAGCUAGAAAUCAAGCUUUCUUUUAAGUUUCACGGAUUUCAGACCGAGUUGAGUUGGACUACCUUUUGCUCAAACUGUGAUUGUCCCUAUAAAUUAUUUUAAUUAAUCUGUUUGAUAUGCAACUCAAAAGAAUAGAGCUAAUAUAUGUACUUAGCAUGGCCAUCCUGUUAAACAUAAUUGUUGCCAUGAAAAUAAUGCAUUAUGUAUUACUCCCUAGCUACUUUGUAGUGGUCAAUAUCAAAUAUCUUCUUGACGACCUGACAGACUAAGUGGCCAGAUGGGAUGAUCUUCAGUCCAUCCGACAACGAAAUUUUAGAUCUAUUGCCAUUAGCAAUAUAUAGGCUUGGCAUAUCUCAUGCAUUCACAAAGAAAUCUGGACUGUAUAAGAGUACCUUCCUUGAAUGAUCCACUGAGCGAUUAUUACUUGUGCCAUGCAUUCACAAAGAAAUCUGGACUGUAUAAGAGUACCUUCCUUGAAUGAUCAUUACUUGUUCAACCUGCUUAAAGAAAAUGAUUAUUUGGCCUAACAGUAAGGUUACAACACGAAAAUAAAGCUAACAAGUUGGAGGUAAAUUCAGUUAGGAAAUUUGAGAUGCCGUAGAUUUAGGUAAUUGUAAACUGAUCAAUCCUCAGGUUGGAGACAACUACUGUGCAAUUCAGGUAAUUGUAAACUGAUCAACUACCAAUUGUUCAGAUGCCGCAGAGGUCCAUCUAGCAGUCAGGUAUUUUAGUCCAUCUGACCACAAGAAUGAAACUCACCUGGAGCCCUGGGUGACAGCGUCCCCGUUCUCGUGCUCCUGGCGGCACGCCGACAGGGUGGCGUAGGCGUUCACCUCUUGACCAGCGCGCUAGGCCUUGACCUCUUGAUGUUCAAUAUCUAGGUCUGACUGUAAAAAAGAUCAAUAGAUAUAUUAGAUAUAUCGGUGUUGUCAUUACAUUACAAUGGUAAUCUGAUACCUUACAUGCAUACUCUGACAUGUAGUUUGUAGCAUUAGGCUUAUAAUAGUUCUCCAUCAAUAUUAGUGGGUCAUAAAACUGAUAAAAAUGGAGAUUAAGGAGUACUGCACACUAUCUUCAGUAUAUAUAAAGAACAUGAUAAUCUGAAACUUCCCAACUGAACAUCAUCGCUGACUGAUCAAGUUCGUUACUGAAUCAUAAACUAUGAAUGUGAGGCCUGUGUCUCUGAAGCAAGAUCGCUACACAUCAUUGCUGGCUGAAACCAGUCAAUCAACAGAGUCUAGCACAUGGGAAAAAAAAAGCAAAGAGUAAUAACUUGGUGAAUAACAAAACAUCGUCAGAAAAGAAGAAAAGAAAAAGGAGCGGAUGAAAUUCUUAGCAGAACAAUAUAAUGUAUGGAAUACUCCAUCAGUGUACUUUCAUCAUGGUCGACAUGUUCAAUACAUAAGCAUUUCCAUGUCUCGAUUUUAUCAGUCUAGCUCGUAUUUCACUCACAUAAGGGGAUUUUUUACCAAGCAAAAGCAGCAAAAGACCAUGAAACCUUAUUAUUACUGACAGGAUAUGAAAAUACCAUAUGUAUGUGGGGAAAAGGAUGCAGACUCCAAAUUGGUCCCUGCCAUGAGCUGUGUAGCCACCCAGCCAUCCCCAUAUAUUUUCUUCAGGUUUGAACACAAUACUGGUUGCUGCACUUCCCAGGAUGGGUACUUGUGGAGGCCAUGCUAAUUAGCGAUCAAUACCUGUUGCCUGCACGAACAUAAUCCCAAGCUUUAAAAAUGAUAUUUUCAUAAAAUUGAGUCAGAAGCAGGUCUAUAUAAAAAAUGUGUAACUGACGUACAAGUGAUUUGCUUGGCUAAUGCAGGGAGCCCAUGUAUGAUAGCGAAACAAAAUUAUAGCACUUUGGAAUUGUGCGUUACAAUACAUGAAAAACAAUUAUAGUACAUGCUCAUGCCUUCAUCGAAGACAUUCUCGUGCCACUUAGUUUUUUUAGGAGAGAUUGAAAGCACUAAGAAUAUUUUUCACAAAGUUUAGUACUUAAAACUUCCAAUUGAUAAAUUUCAGCAAUCUUGGUAACAAUCGCUCUUCCAAAUACUAUUGUACUGUUAGUUGACCAUUGUGCCCUAAUAGUUAAACUUCCCCAUAAGACCAUAGUAACAGCAAGUAAAUAAACAUGCAUGUAAUCUUUCAUUGUGGCCAAAACUCCUUGAAUUCUUAAAAAAAUGAUUGGCUCUGAUGUCACACCCGGUUUUAAAACAAAACCAAGUGCUAUCUAUAUGUAUGUCAGGAUCUAGUUUCAUAUAUUGUAACAUCAUUAGUGAAUAACAACAACAGUAUCACGUAAAAAGAUAAAAAAAAAGACUUACAAGACUAUCAGAGACACACAGCUUAAAUAUUGGAAACGUAGGCUCCAAACUUCACAGGCACUCAACUGGGGGUUGCGUACGCCUAGAACUCAGCACCAUCUUCACAAUGACUUCAUAGCAGCUUCAUCUUCUAAGCAACGUUGAUUAUAGCAAGGGUGAGCACAUGUCGUACUUAACAAGUGUGGGGAAGAUAUGAAUGCAAGGUUUAAACAAGGAAAGGCUGACUGGUUGACUGCAUUAAGCAUUUUUAGUUGGUCAAAUUUUAUUAGCACCUGAUUACUAAGGUAUAAGUAUGUACCAACCCACAAUUAAGCAUAAAGCACCAACAUUAUCCAAGGAACCAUAAUUUAUUCUCAUCUUUAAGUUCAAUUAUCAUGUGAGGGUCCAGGCCAUUCUUAACUGUGAGCACGGCUGAUAUAUCAGUUUUACACUCUGCAGAGGUUGCACAUCUUUGCCCACAAGUCGUGUAAAAGUUCAAAAGAGCUUUAGACCCAAUCAUGCUGUGCUGAUCAGGCACAAUACUACACUUCCGAGGUGUGAUUGCAUAGGAACGCUACAAGGCCUUUAUAAAGAUUCUCAAGUAAGUGGUAACCCGCUAAGGUUUUCGGAUCAGUAGUGUGCAUAAACCCCUCUCAGGACUGCGAAGCUUCCAUAAAGCAGAUCAGUCUAAGGGGCGGGUUAUACACCAUCAACCGCCACCCCUUUUACCCUUUCGGUAAGAUUACCCCGGAUUAGAGUCUCUAAUUAAUUAGCUAAGAUAAGAGCCACGAUAGUUCUCGUGGUUGUACUGUUUUUCUGGGUGGUUCUCCAUGUUCCGAUUAAAUCAAGUGAUCUUGUAUUAAUACGCGUAUAGCAUAAAUAAAAGUCAUGAUUAAUAUUUAAGUUCAUUAAGAUCAUCAUAACCAAGUAUAGCAGCUAAGCAUAGCUACCCAACAGAAUCAUAAACCUAGGUUGACAAGGAAUGAUUAUAAAAAUUAGGCAAACCUUAAUAGGACCCAUCAAAUUAAAUGCAGGCAUAUGCAAUAGUGAUUAAUAAAGUUAUUGGGACAAAAGCACAAGAACACACUUACUUUUCUCCAACGACAAGUUACUCUUAUUGCUCUUCGGUUCUUGCUCUCUUGAAACUCUUACUCUUCAAAGCUUCUGAACAACGAUCCUUCUACUCUAAGCAAACAUCGGCAACAAACAAACAAGUACAACUUAAAACAAUAAAAAAAAGACUUUAAAAAAGCGUACUAAAGGACAAGGCUUGAUCUAAGGGAGCGCUAAGAACGAAACUAUCGAGACGCUUGAUUCAUAAAAGAAAUAAAGACUAUAUGUUUGUUUCAUGUUAAUUAAAUAAAAUAUGCACAUAGGUUAUUUUAGAGAAAUACCCUAUUUGGAAUUAAGCAAGUUACAUUCAAUUAUUAAAAAUACGGUAAACUUAAUUAUAUUUUAUUUUAAAAUAUUCAAGUACGAGUUAUGUCAAUUUAACAAUUAACUUUAAAAAGAGUAUAAGACAUCCAAUCCAAUAACUUUGUAUUUCGUGUUAAACAAGAUUAUUGAAAACACGGUAAACUUGAUUAUAUUUUAUUUAUAAAUAUUCAAACGCGAAAGGUACGGGCUAAACAAGAUUAUAGGGACCUAAACGCGAUUAAUCGUAGACUACAAGGGUUAGCAAGAAAGAUUACCAAGACACAAAGAAUAGAGCCGCGAAAAGCUGAAAACUCGGGGUUAGAUCUGCAAAAGGUCAAGGCUUGGAUUAGAUUGCAAGGAUCUGGAAAGUUUGAGGUUUAUUCUGUGAAACUGCAAGACACAAGAAGGAGCAUAAGAAUUACAGGAUUUUCAUGGGCUUCUUCGCAAAACGGAGCCUUAUCUUCUUCUUCCAGCUCCUGCUCGCUCCGCUCGUGUGGCCGAUCAGAUUAUCGGCGGCGGUUGCUGGCCGGGCCAAGGGGGCAGGGCGCGCGCGGCUGCGGCGGCGGUGGCGCGCCGGCGCAGCAGGCGGCCAGGAAAGCAGCGCAGGCAGCGGCUCGGCGCAGGGGCAACACAGGCGGCGGCGGGCGCGGUUAAGCAGAGGCGAGAAAAGGCGGCGGCGGCGAUUUGAGAGGCGGCGGCGCUUGGUGGGGCGAGGAGGCGGAAAAGGGUGGGGAAAGGGGCUCUGGUGGCGGCGGGGCGUUUUAUAGGGGCGGAGGAGGGAGCUGAGGCGGCGGCCGGCCAUAAAUGGCGGCGAUUUGGUGCGGGCGGCCGUUUCUGAUGGGGAGAGGAAACGAGGGGGCGAGGCGGCGCGUGCGCGGGGGAAGGGGAGCGGGUGCGGGACGUGGAGCAGCGCGGGAGAUGGAGCGGUGCAGAGGACGCCGGGGAGGAGCCGCGACGCGGCGGCGGCCGGUAGAGAUCGAGCAGCAGGAGCGGUCGGAUGAGCGCCUGGCCUGAGGAAGAAGAAAAACCUGCAGGUGGGGCCCACCUGGCAGUGGAAGGGAGAGAGGAGGAGAGAUGGCGGGCCAAGCUGGGCCGGAAGCUGGGCCACGGGGGAGAAAGAUGGGAGUUGGGCCGGUGCAGGGUGGAAAGAGGGAAAGGGAGGUGGGCCUGUGGGAAAGGCCAGAUGGGCCGGGCGAACGGAAAAUAAAAGUGGACCGCGGUCUGGUUGGGCCGAUUUGGGUCGGGCCCAAGGCUCGGCCCAAAAGGAAAAGAAAAGAUAGAUUAUUUUCAGAAAUUAUUUCACGUGGGAAUAUAUAUCCAGAAAAUUCUAGAUAAAUAAUUUAAACCACGAAAAAUAUUCUGAAAAUCCCAAAAAUUUAAGAAAAAAUCCCAUGAGGAAUGUAAAUAAAAUAUUUGGAGCUCAUGAAAAAGGAUUUUAGAACUAUCCCAAAAUUGGAUUAAGCUCAAGAAAAAAAGAGAAUAAAUUCCAGUAAUGGCUGAAAAAUUCUCAGAAGGGUUUAGACAAUGUCUAAAUGCAUUUUUGAAACUUUUUUACUCAAGAAACAUCAAGAUGCAACGGCAUGAAUGCACAGAUAGAAAACAACAACCUUAUUUAAUUCCAAAAACAAAUAAUUAUUUUUCCUAUACUAAAUUUCCUAUGAAGAAAAUAAAUAUUAGGAAAAAUUUAAUUAUAAAAAAUUAUUGUUUAAUUAUUUCUUUUUAAUCAUAUUCUAAAAUUCAAAAAUUUCAAAGGUAUGACAUCUAAGUACUCUAAUGAAACCAGUUUAGAAAAUACAGUUCAGUAACCUGCUCUUAUGAAGACUGCAUAUGAAAAAAAUAGUACCUUCCGAGGGUUACACCUACAUAACAUCAGUGAGAGAUACUUAGCUUCUAGCAUACACAUGUUCAGAAGCAGUUCUUUGCAGGCCAAUAAGGCAUCCAUUAAAAUACUUAGCACCAUGCAUUGCUUUGUGUCAGGUUGUCCCGGUACAAAAUAGAAAAAAAUAUUUUUCAUUUAGCAAACAUGUCAGAGAAGCAAAAUUCAGAAAUGAUGUGCAGUGUCACCAACAGGUCAAAAAAGUAAGGACAAUCUAUAAUUGUGGUCAUGAAAUUAUGCAUCAUCCGCGAACACAAAAGCCAGUCAUCAACUAUUUACAUGGUAACCCUGAAUUAUUUAGAUUUACUUCCUACAUGCAUAAAAAUAAACCUCUCAUGAUUUCGUUGGACAUCACAUAUCAAAAGGGAGAAAAAUGAAACCUAAGACAAUUGAAUCAUAAUGAUUUUUUUCUAUGUGGAAGUAGAUAAUUUCCUUAUCUUUCAGACAGCCACUCCAGAAACUAAUCAUACAAUCAAAUUUAGUUAGAAAUUUAGAGCAUGCUAGCACAGAACAAUAGGAGCUAUGAAUUUACACAUGCUAGCUGUAGAUUGUCUAGAAAAAUCGAAAACCAAAUACUUGAUGCCAGCAGAUCUAAAGAAUCAUUGUGUUUUAGGAACACCCACCGAUCGGAGCAGGCAACAACGGAGCUGCCUUGGGGCCGCCAUCGACUUGGAGCUCCUUGUUGAGCCGCACAGAGAAGGAGCGGCAGCGGCGUCAUCGUGGGGGUGUGUUGAGCGCAGGGAAGGGCCAAUUUUGAUUCUGGGUAGGAUGACGUACAAACGUAGGGCAAAGCGGAUGGGAGGGAGCAAUUUUCCCGUGCGUGGAGAGAAGACUGAUUGAUCCAAGGGUGGAGGCUGUGUUCCGCAUAGAGAACCGUGAAAUGGAGGGCCGAGGUUGCUUGGAGCGAGGGCCAUCGGGCGACGACGGUCAUUUGACGGACCAUAGAAACGUUGCCCGUUUGGUUUUUUAGGAGUAGAGAAAAUUCGAAGUUAUUCUUACAAAUUGUACCUAAAAGUUGUACACCUAAUUUUUGUGCGCUAUUGAAGUUGUGCUAAAAAGUUAUCUCAUAAAAAAUUAUAUUAUAGAGUUAUGCAUCGUAUUUAUAUGUAUAAGUUAUGAUUUCCACAAAUGGAAAGUUGUGGGAUUUAAAACUUUCCCAAAAUGGAAUGUUUGGGGGGAAGGAAGGAGCUGUCUAGAUUCGCUCGCCAGGAGGGCUCCUAGUGCGCGAGCGCUAAUUAGCACUGCGCGCCUAUCAGCAUGUUAUUUUUUAAACAAACUGGGCAGGAGAGCUGCCGAUUAUAUUAAAAAGAAGAUGAAACCCGGGCAAUACAACUAAUGGAAAAAAAUAACGAGUUGAAUUGGGACAUCAACACACGUUGAACUCAACUCAACUAACGAAACAACUCAUGCCGAUUCGAUUGAGACAUCGACACGAGUCGCAACAACUCUAACUAGUCAGAUUGGGAUAUCAACACAGGCCGCACAACGUCAUCACACCACUCAACUCAAACUUAGCACCACCACCACCACCACCACCAAGAACUCUUCCGCAUUCUUGGAGAUCCAGCCCCACUUCCAACUCUUCUGCAUGUUCUUCUGUGUCAAGCCGUAGCCUAAGAGGGAGCACACAGUAGUCGGAGGGGUUGGAAUCCAAAUGAGGGAGAAGGUGAAGGGCCUCUAUUUGGAGUACGAGUUGAUUGACUCGCAUUCUGGGUGGAAAGAGAGGUGGUGCUAUAUUGGCAACUAUGAGCCCAAACUCCCUAAGGUGACAGGCCACCGCCCGACGUGGAACAAUAGGUGGCUAGAUGUGCCAAGUCACAGAGAUUAUUUGCAACUACCUGACCUUCUUGAUAGAAUUGCCAGAUUGAAACAAUAAGGUCUAACGAGAGUUGGGGUAGCCUUCAGCUUCAUAAAGAGGCGAGGUAAGCCCCUGCAAUUGCGGUGCACAUGGGGCUACGACUACUUGAGCCCCAAUGAUCCAUCCCGGAUGUCACCAAAAGAACUCACCAUGGAUGAGAUCAUGGAGCAGUUCAGGUGCUUGUUCAAGCAUGCCAGCAAGUGCCUGUUCAAGCAUGCCAACAAGACCCCAACGAUUGUGCAGGAUCAUUGCACUGCCAACCCACCAAGCAAUGUAAGUACCCGUGGCCACAGCCCUCAAGUACUAAUUGUUGUAUCUAUUGAUGUUCUGACUUGUCUUCCUAUGCAGGAAGAUGUACACUUGUUUUGCUCUGCUCCUCCUCCUCCUGGAUCAAAUGACUCUGAUGCCGCUCCACACGUACACACGGCUACAAGUGUAUAGAGAGAAGUCGAGGGGGAGUAAAAGGAAAUUGAGUCUUUCAGCAGCUCCUACUCUGAAGCUACUAAAGAAUUCAUGCUCAAAGCCCGGCCAUUAGACAAGGCUGGGUCUUCCUCCGGGUCACCAAAGCAUGCGGCUGAUGAUCUGGAGGCUAGACUGGCGGCACCGCCAAAGCGACGCUCUGCUCUUGCAGUGUUUCUUGCUCGCCGUUGAGUUUUUUGAGCUUCAGUUUCUUUUCCGACGAUGUUGAUGGUGAGCUUAUCCUACGAGAUGUCAUCUCGGUGACGUUCAUGUCAUGGAUUCCUUUCUUGUUGCUCUUCAUCUUCUCCUUCUUGCGCAUCAACAAGGGUGAAGAGUUCCCGCUCCGGAGAAUAGCUUCCUGAACUUAACGUGAUGACCUCUGUGGAGCCAUCUUUUUUGUAGAUGGGAGACAAAAGAAGUUCCCUUCUAGUACAGGAGGGUAUCAAGGUAGGCAACAAGGUGUGACUCGUCAUUCUUUGCGAGAGCAGGUGGCUUCAUGUUGGCCCAGUAGAUGAAUCUGUCUUGUGGAGUUGAGGUAAUCACAAGGCCUUGUUGUGGGUCUGAUAAUGGAGUCCUCUCAUCCGGAUUCGAGUAGCAGUAAAGGUCCUCGAUCCAAUCCAUGUUGAAUUGUGAUCUGGAUAGGGUAGCUUGAUAGACAAUACCCGUGUUUCGGAGUCCGAACGCGAAUCGACUUGAGUCAUAGACCGAUUCGCAUGAUGGCUUAAGCGCCGGCUCAUGAAAACCAGUCCGGCUAGUGGGAGAAGUUGAGCUGUACUCGGACUAGUCCCCCCAGCCUCUGACUAAGUCAAGAAUUGAAAAUUCGCUGAAUUUCUCGACGAGAUCCUCCAAAGCUUGGCGCUGGAGGUUGAUGGUAUGCUGUUUCUUCUCUACGACCGACACAAUGUGGCGGUGGAAGUUUCCAACACCAUCUGCAACGCAAACCCAGGAGCUGAAGACGAACGUCGCGUCUGCUUUGAACGCGAUGGUGGACUUGAUGAUGACUUGGGCCAUCGAGUUCGUUAGUGGAUUCUCAGCGAGAGCCCUUAUUUCGUGUGCCAGCUAUCGGUGUUUAGACUCGGUAACCUACCGAGGGGGGUGCCUGAGGUGGUGUUUAGUGCGUGGGGCUCACCCAGAUCAGGAACUGGAAGGUGAACUUGAACACAUAAUUUAGACAGGUUCGGGCCGCUAGAUUGCGUAAUACCCUACGUCCUAUGUGUUAGUUGUAUUGAAUUGCUUUGGAGGGGGUCUCCACCUCACCUUAUAUUGCUAGGGGCAGGGCUACAGGUCGUUUGUUUACAAGAAUACUAGUCGGAUUUGACUAGUGAGUCCUACUCUAAUUGCUACAUGUAGUUACUUAAUCCUUGACUAGUUCUUGUCCUCCACGUAGACCACGCUGUUCUGCACCGUAGUCUCCAUGUCUGACACGUCUUGGUGUAUAGCCCUGUAUCUAGGACUGUCCAAACCUUCUAGUGGGCACAUAGAUAUAUGUACAACAAGCACAGUGAAGAUCUAACGAACGCCCACCCGGGAAGGACCCCGUCAGAGUAGGCGCACCUUGGGUUGCCCUAGGCUCGGCAAGAACAACACAUGGGGUUGGAAAAGUAGGGCAAAGAGGAAAAAAGGUAAAAGUAAAAGAUAGAUUAGUUUUUGAUCAGUUGUGGCCCUUUAUAUUUAUAGUGAGGGGAGGUCUUGCCCCGUUGGAAGUCGAAACCCUAACAAAUCUCAUGCAAAAAUACAACUCCUACUCGGACUCUACAGGUCCAAACCGGUCCGACCUAUCUCCUCGGGGGCAGAUAUUCCCGAGGUCAUAACCCUCUCUUCCGAACUUCAAAUUGGACGUUCUAUAUAUGAAUUUUGAUCUACUCAACAAGAGAUACACAAUGGUGAACUCCAAUUUGUAUUUGUAGGACUUUGAUCAAACUGGUCUGACCGAUUGGAAGACCGGUUCAAAAACCUACUUGUCCAGAUCUGCUAAUUUUGACCAUCAAUAGGUAAUAAUUAAGAAAAUAUCAUUGAGGUAAGAAUUAAGAAAAUAUCAUUUCCCUUCUCUCAAAUUUCAUUUUAUUUGUGUGCAUGUGUUACUAAUUUUGUGUGUGUUAUUUCACUACUAUGGAAUGGACCUUUCGUCCACUCCCUUAGUACCGGGUGCAUUUGAAUCCGGUACUAAUAUUAGCAUUAGUACCGGCUCCAAAUUUGGAAUCCCCCGAACCCUCCACCCAGUACUAAAGGUUUCCAUCUACGCGCCUAGCCCCCUUAGUGCCUGUCCUUAUCCUCAGCUCCCUCCGCUCCGCUUCCCUCAUCCUCAUCUUUUCUCCUUCUACUCCCUCUCCCUCUCCAGGCCACUAGCCCCCUCCCUCCCUCCCCUCUCCUCCCCCCUCCACUCGCCCCUUACCUCGUGCCUGAGGCGAGGAGCAGCGGUAGGGUGAGGCGCAGCGGUGGCCAUCGGGGCGCGGCAGGGAGCGGCGACGAGGUGAGACGCGGCGGCAGAGCGGGCACGGAGCAGCUGGCGGGCGGGAGCGCAGCGGUGGCGGAGCGGCGGGUGGGUGGCCAGGGGUAGCGGGGCUGGCGGAGGGCGGCAACGGCGGGACAGGCGGAGGGCAGGGGCGGGUGGGGGGUGCGGGCGGGAAUUUAUUUUUUUUUAAUUUUUUAAUACCCUUUAAUACCGGUUAUCUCAACCGGUACUAAAAGUCCCACUUUAGUAUCGAAUUGCCAGUACCGGUUGGACAAUCGGUACUAGAGGGGUUAUCGACCGGUACCAGAGGUGUUAUCCCUAGUAGUGUUCUUAUAUAUUUGAAAACGGAUGCCGAUUACUGCCGUGCUUUGGUCUGCCAACUAGGCAUUCUUAAUAGUCAACAGGAUUAUUCUGUUUCGUGUGUAGGGGAACUAGCAUCCUAACAACCGUUGGUGGCUUACGGCUUUGGCUUGGCUGUCAAUCAAGCGCCGCUUGGGUCACGACAAUGGCAGUAAGGUCGUGGUGUCUACCAAGUAAAACUACGUAUACAUUCCCUCCGUUCUAGUGCAGAUGUGGGCGUACACAAUAUUAGGCUAUACUGGUGUUAAAAAAGACCAGUAUAAACAUAUCCAAUGAUCGAGAUUAAUUGUAUACUACUAAAAACUUCACUAGUGGUAUGGAUAGUAUGCGUGAGUAGUAUAUGUGGUAUAAGGGUAUUAUGGAAAAAGAAAUAUAAAUGGCAUAUACAUAAUAUAUUUUUCUUGUUCUUUGAGAUGGUAAUAUAUCUCUCAUUUAGUAAUAAUUCGUAUGGUCCAUCAAUAUUUAGUAAUAACUAUAUUAGCAUUUGCCUAUACCAUAUACUACUGAGUGGUAGUAUUGUGUACCGUAAAAAACUUAUUUUUGAACAUUCUUGUCACAGGACGUUUUAAUUGACUUCAAGCAUGAUGUCCUCCAUCGACCAUCAUGUCCUAUUCUUUGCUCCGAGUCGUGUAGUUGUGCUUUUAAGAAAAAGGUGCUUGUGUGUUUUGCUUUUCGCGGUCUAAAAGUUUAGAUAGAUAUUUUGUACCGUAGUUGCUCAUCACUCCAAUUAUGUACACUUCUUCGCGCGUUAUUUCAUUUUCAAUCUUGGAGUCGCCGCUGCCGACCUAGAGAAUGGACUAGGGUGGCUGGCCUAAGGGUUUGGAUUCGAGAUGCUAAACUUUAGCAGGGUCACAUCGGAUGUUCGGACGCUAAUAAGAAGGACUAAAUAUGAGCUAAUUAUAAAACUAAUUGCAGAACCAUGUGCUAAUUCGCGAGAUGAAUCUAUUAAGCCUAAUUAUGGAUUAAUUAGGCUUAAUAGAUUCGUCUCACGAAUUAGACUCCAUCUGUGCAAUUAGUUUUGUAAUUAAACUAUAUUUAAUACUUCUCAUUAGUAUUCAAACAUACGAUGUGACACGUGCUAAAGUUUAAGGGGUUCACCCCCUUAAUCCCACCCUGCUGGGAUCAGCCUCCAUGGGGGCGACAGAUGCCACUGCCUAGGCAUGGCGGUGGCUGUUGCUGUAUCCCAGCGUUUGCAGGUAUACCGUAUCCCUGACAACAGGUGUGCGCAUGCAGAUUGGCCUUUCGGAUCUAUGGAGUGCUAAUAUGUGUUGCUUGAUGGUGUUGUGUCGAGGUGGGUUUGGGAUGUGCGCAUGCCGGGCCAACGAUGAUGACGUCUGUUGGUGCCACAUCCCUCUCUGGACAAUUAGACAGCCCCGACCCCUUCCCCUACCACCUGUGUUAUCAGUUCUUGCAGGUGUAAACCUUAUCUUUUGUUGAUUAGGUGAUGGCCGAGCCCAUGGCGUCGUGUCCCUCCCUCGCGGUGACACUUUGAAAGAACUCGUGCUUCAUCACAACGUACUGCUAAUUCCAUGGUUUAAGAGAAGGGCAGCAACUACUCAAGGGAAUGCAUGUCAGAUCAACAUGUCAUUUGAGUCGGAUGUUGUUAGGGAUUACGAGUCAUAUGCUGUUGAUUGGUUGGCAAAGACCAUGUGGUCUUCAGAUAUUUGUGAGAUGCUUUAGAUGCACUGUUCGCCACCUUUCUUUCGUAUGAGGAUGAUGGAGUUUUGGGGAUUUUGUGGUGUAAGAGAAUAGGAGUGACUACGUUAAGCUCUUCCUCCAUAUAUGGAUUGUAGGUUGCUAGGUAAUUUUGAGACGUAUGUUGAAUUUAAGAUCUUUUAUUGUUUAUCACUUACUGGAUCACUUUCUUCUUUCUCUCUUAUAUUUCCUUUUGACAAGGUUGUGUGUACUCCUGUUGGGGGAAAAUAUUAACAACCUCCUAAUGCCGCUUAAAGCGACAGUCAUGAAGGCCCAGGCCCACCUGCGGUAAUUACGAUUACAGCCGACCUAGUAAAGGCAAAGAACGUCCCACUCCGUCUCACCCGACCUAGGGCCUCGGGGUCGGACAAUCCCGACCCCUCGAAGGAGGGACUCUGCCUCGCCCGACCGUGGUCCCAGGGUCGGGAGCGCCCAACCCCUCGCCGCAAGGCUCCGCCUCGCCCGACCGCGGUCCUAGGGUCGGGAGCGCCCGACCCCUCGCCGCAAGGUUCCGCCUCGCCCGACCCAGAGAACCGGGGUCGGGAGCGCCCGACCCCCACCACAGAAACCCCGUCUCGUUCGACCCCGGGCACGGGGGUCGAACUCACUCGGGUCCACAAGACGGAUAUUUGCCUCGGGCCACUGGAGGAUCAGGAUAACGAUCUCGUGGGUCCCCCUAUCGACCUCGCCAUAAAUGCGUCGCGGGCCUGUCAAGCCAAAAGGGAGCGGCGUCCCCGACGUAACCAGUCCCGAAUACCGGUGCGUGGCGCAAAGUACUCAUGAGCUGCGCCGAACAACACAGGGGGGCGCAUCGCUUGCUCUCGCGCCCCGUGCUCCCAACGGCAGUGUCAGGGAUGCGACGUCCGGGUCUUACGGUAAUCGGUGGGGCAACAGAACCGGACCUCCUCCUCGGCGGGCACGGAUGCCGAGGCUGAGGCUCAUCAUCACGCUCGACGGCGACGGCGACCAGGGAGAUCAUCGACAAGAUCCGGAAGGAAUCGCCCUCCCUCGCCGGACGCGCUGACAGGGACCGGAUGCCGGAGCAAGAGCGGCGGCCUUGGGGCCCUCCCCUUGUAUUAUUUUUCUACUUAGCUUAUCCUUCCUGCUUCUUCUCCUGAGGUCCAGCUCAACUGUAACCCCGAGCUCCCUCUUGCGCUAUAAAAAGAGGACCGGGGGUCCUGAGACGGGGACGGAAACUCUGGCUCGGAAGCCAACAAUACACUCUCACACUCCCUUAGAGCACAAGCACACUCAAGAGACCUGGGAUCAGUUCCUUCUCUCGCCCUUCUGUAACCCCUACUAUAGAACCCCGCGUGGGUAACACGAGCAGCCUCGAUACUGGACGUAGGGCCUUCCUUUGCCCGAACCAGUCUAACCCCGUGUCUCCCACGCCACCAUCCGAAGCCUUACGCGCAUAAAAGAAAUUUACUAGUCUAGAGUCUUGAUCCGCAAAUCUUGACAACGACAACUACCUUGUUACAUAGGCUGGAAUCUAAGCUUUCUUCAUCCAAAAGAAGAUUAUAUAAAACAACCAGAAGGAGGGGGGGGGGAUUUUGACUGGUAAGGGAUGUUUUGCAGGAGGAUGUGCACCUCAACAUGAGUAACAUAGAAUCUGUGGGUACACUUUUAGCAACAUACCUUCAAACCACAUUCUAUGCAACAAUAAUCUUGUGCAAACCAUAUAUAGCUAUGCCCACCAUUUAUAGAACAAUGCUCAAUAGACUACAAUAUGCAUAUGAACGUGCACGGUGCACUACCGGAAUGUCUAAGUUUGUCGUGUGUCCAUGGCACACGGUGAAGCAAAAAAAAAACACUUGGCAAAGCUUUUGCCGAGUGGGCGUACACAGUGCCGGUAAAAAUGUUUUGGCCGAGUGCUAAAACCGACACUCGGCAAACAAAAAAAGCAAUGUGACGGUGCGAAGACGGUCACAUCACGAUUGCUGAGCGUCUAACGGUAUGUCCACGGAAAAACAAUCCUCGGCAAACAUGAGUCAUUUUAGACUUUAGGCACAAUUUCCUAAAGGAACACCAGAAAUUUCACAGAAAUUUUCACAUUAGCUAUGUAGAUAAUAGCAAAGUUCUUGCAAGGUGACCAUACUUGCAAGGUAUGCUCGCACGUGUUCAAAUUUGUUGUAAAUCUGCAGUUCUGUCCGAACAUAUAAUGACCUGAACAGCAAAAAGAUUUGCCUCGACAGCACCAGGGGAGGUGGGAGCUCACUGUUUACCGCUUUCUGUCCUCCCUUGCAAUCAACUCCUAUAGUGUCCAAAGACUUGACCAAGUCCAAGUCCACGCGGUCCAGGCAAGCCCACUGGCCACCGGGAAACUCGACCCCACAGCACGAGUUGGAGGCCCCACGCGGGAAAGGAAUCCUAAGCGAUGCAAUCAUCCAUAUGUGGGUCCCUCAGACAUGAUUUUUUGGCUGUGAACACUGCACAGCAACUCGCGAGAAUUUUGCCCUCAGCCUUUUUUAUCUGUAGGUUUUGGGAGCACAGAGAGAAGGAAAAAUUGGGUUAAGAUGGAGUUGUUAUUGGGAUAUGCGGAAAAGUAGGUAACGAAGUUGGACAACUGUUGGAGCUUUGGUUUUUCACCUUGGUUACCAAAAACUAGUCAUUGAAAUCAUAUAUCGGGCACUCUUAAAAAUACUCUAACUGAUGAUCUAGUACAUAUAUUUUGAACAUUAUUUUUUAAAACCUUAUAGCAACUCAAAACCUCUUUUAAUUUUUUCUACUAUCAUAAUCGUCUUAAUCUUGGUCUACUUAAAUGUUUAGACUACUUAACCUGCAAUAACGUUUCUUAUCUAGAAGAGACUAUUUGCCCAACAACUAACCGUCGUAUUCCCUCGUAAAUAGCCAUAGGGCCCAAGCUAUAUGAUCACCACCUAAACCAAUUAUUGUCUCGACCACCUAAACCAAUUAUUAUCUUUCCAACUAGCAUUUCGCUUGCGUAAAUGGAAUCCCCAUCUGCGACUGUGAGGCCCUGAGAAUUGAAGCGCCCUUCCUCUCUGACACCACCACAAGCUAGCAGAGCGGUAGAGCCAGCAGCUUCCCAGUCGAGAUGGCCGAACUGAUGGCGAGCGCCGCCACGAGCAUGAUGGGGUCCGUCAUCGGCAAGCUGACUGCCAUGCUCGGCGAGAAGUACCAGCUCGCCAGAGACGUGGAGCAAGGGAUCCGCUUCCUGAAGGAUGAGCUGAGCAGCAUGGAUGCCGUGCUGCAGAAGCUCGCAGACAAGGACGACGACCAAAUGGAUCCAAUGGAUAAAGAUUGGAGGAACAAGGUGCGUGAGCUAUCCUUCGAUAUUGAGGAUUGCGUCGAUCGCUUCAUGCUCAAUCACAGCCAUGGAGGUUCCAAGGCUAACUUUGUUCGCAAAGCCGUGCGUAAGGUGAAGAUGUUGUGGGAGGACCAGGGCAUAGCAGGGGAGAUCCAAAAACUCAAGAUACUCGUGACAGAGCAUAGUGACCGGGCCAAACGCUACCGUGCGCUUGGACCCUCGCCGCCUCACUAUCUCGCCGCCUCACCUCAGCCGGUGCGCUUGGAUCCUCGAGCAACUGCCCUCUUUCAGGAGGCGAGGGAUCCUGUGGGAAUUGAUGGUCCUCGCGAGGAAAUCAUCCAGUUAUUACAAGUUGAAGAAAAUCAACACAAGGUGGUGUCUAUCUAUGGUACCGCUGGGCAGGGGAAGACUACUCUAGCCAUGGAGGUAUACCGAAAAAUCACACAAACACAAGCAUUUGAUUGCAGGGCUUUCGUGUCUGUAUCUCAGACUCUGGAUAU